AGAUUGAACGCUGGCGGCAUGCUUUACACAUGCAAGUCGAACGGUAACAGGCCGCAAGGUGCUGACGAGUGGCGAACGGGUGAGUAAUGUAUCGGAACGUGCCCAGUCGUGGGGGAUAACGCAGCGAAAGCUGCGCUAAUACCGCAUACGAUCUAUGGAUGAAAGCGGGGGACCGUAAGGCCUCGCGCGAUUGGAGCGGCCGAUAUCAGAUUAGGUAGUUGGUAGGGGUAAAGGCUCACCAAGCCAACGAUCUGUAGCUGGUCUGAGGAGGACCGACCAGCCACACGUCGGGACUAGGACGACACCGGCCCAGACCUCCGACGGGAGGCA
rnacentral:rRNA from 1 species